rnacentral:rRNA from 1 species
GACGAACGCUGGCGGCGUGCCUAAUACAUGCAAGUAGAACGCUGAAGGAGGAGCUUGCUCUUCUGGAUGAGUUGCGAACGGGUGAGUAACGCGUAGGUAACCUGCCUGGUAGCGGGGGAUAACUAUUGGAAACGAUAGCUAAUACCGCAUAACAGUAGAUGUUGCAUGACAUUUACUUAAAAGGUGCAAUUGCAUCACUACCAGAUGGACCCGCGUUGUAUUAGCUAGUUGGUGGGGUAACGGCUCACCAAGGCGACGAUACAUAGCCGACCUGAGAGGGGGAUCGGCCACACUGGGACUGAGACACGGCCCAGACUCCUACGGGAGGCAGCAGUAGGGAAUCUUCGGCAAUGGACGGAAGUCUGACCGAGCAACGCCGCGUGAGUGAAGAAGGUUUUCGGAUCGUAAAGCUCUGUUGUAAGAGAAGAACGAGUGUGAGAGUGGAAAGUUCACACUGUGACGGUAUCUUACCAGAAAGGGACGGCUAACUACGUG